GCGGACGUGGCGAAAUUGGUAGACGCAAGAGACUUAAAAUCUCUCGGCCUUCGGCUGUACGGGUUCGACCCCCGUCGUCCGCA
rnacentral:tRNA from 1 species